AAAGAGAAUCCAUAUAGUCGAUCUUAAUAAAUUUUUGGGGUAAAGAUUUAGUUGAGUUAAUUUUUUGGCCUGCAUUAUGAGGACCUAUCCUAUUUGUAGUGGAAGGGGGAAAGCAGUGAAAAGAAAAGUGGCACCACAGUUAUGCAGGGGCCAUGUUUAUUAGUUCCUUAUUGGACAUGAUGAUAAUAAUUGGGAUUAAAACGCAAUUGAUUGGUAAACAGAAAUCAUUAGAUUAGACAUAGCAACUAAUUUGAUCAUUUAUUUAUGUUGCAUGUUACGGCCCCUCACACCACCACCACACAUGCACCCAUCCAUGGUGCCCUUUCUUGAAGAAAAUAAAAAAAAGAAUGUCACAAAUCACAAGUGCCCCUGCUUUUUGUAAGGAAUAGAUUUGGUUUCUUCUAAUGUUAACUGGAAUUUCAAAUGCUAUGUGACAAGCAUUAUUAACUAGAAUUUAUUUUUCCCACGUUUUUUUAUUGGGUGAUUGGGUGUCUUUUGCUUUGCAGUCAUUAUAUGCCAACAAAGUUG
rnacentral:misc_RNA from 1 species